rnacentral:tRNA from 1 species
AAAAUCCGUUGGUUCCAAAGGACCGUGAGGGUUCAAGUCCCUCU